AAGGUUCCUCUCCAUCCCAACUAGCCUGUGAUAAGUCUUGGAAAGGGAACUCCAACUCUCUCCCGCCUCUAAAUUGAGAAGUAAGGCGAGUGGAUUGGGGGCGCGGAGGCUCUGGUCCCAUAAGGGACCUUGUUGACUUGGGCUUGUGACCCCCCCCUCCAGGAGAGGGUUUCCGCAGUGCGUGGUGGCUUCCAGGAACCCACCGUACGCGCGACCAAGACGCCCUAUGCGCGGAGGGGCGUCUUGCUGCUGCUAGCGGCCGGCGUGUCUCCCCUGCUGGAGGCAAGGAGAAGAUUCCUCGGUCCCUGUAAAAAAAAAGUGCGACGGGACGCACCCAGCAGACGGUGUGGGUUGAUGCAAACUUCCCCCCGAAAAAGGGACAGGAUGGCCGAGGAUCCCCACUGCCUUAGCAUGGAGCAAUAAGCCCAAAGGCCACUGUUAAGGAGCUGGGGAAAGGUGAGGGUCCGGAGUGCCUAUCCGUCGAGCCUCGUCCCCUCGGCGCCCGAAUUUCGUUCCUUUCCGAGCCCGGCGCCUCCUUCCCUCGCGCGCUCGGAAAGCAUUUAACAACAAUUACGCCUUAAUCAGCUGGAAUGUUGGCCACAAAUGACGCUAUUAAACAUCAAAGGGAUGCCUCCGACUUUACCUUUUAGCCAUAAGAGGAUUAAUUUCUCUAAUUAGAGGGGAUAAAUAUGUGCAUAAAUACAUAUCUCUCUUCUCACUCCUUUCUCCUUAAUCUGACGGAUUCCUAUCGAUGGGAGGGGAGGAGAGAGUGAGGCAGGGGGCGCGCCGGGGUGUUCCUCGACAUCAUCGCCCGCAUCUUUAAUUCUUAAAAAAAGAAAAGAAAAACCCGACAUGAUAAUGGGAUGGGGGAGAAGAGGGGCUGACCAGAAGCCCCCGCCCCAAAGGAGCAAAUCCGGAGGGUCGCAUCAGUUCACCGAAGUCCCUCGCUGAAGGCUGCUCAACACCGGCAGAUAUUACUUUUCUGUGUAUUUGGGAGGCAGAACAAAAGCAAGCAACUUCCAACCCCUUCCAAAUGAAACCUGGAAGUGGGGGCAGACUUGUUUGCUUUUGUUGGGAUUUAGGAUCCGAUUUACUGACCCCCCCUUCCUCCCCGCACUCCGAAGCUCAAGGCUGCGUUUAAUCUCCCCCAAUAAAAUCCGCCUGACCUUGAUUCUAACCUGUAUGAAUACCUCAUUUACCUAAUGACUUUGUGUCACGUAGGCAGGAGGUCAGUUUCCUUUUUAACCUUUCCCAUUGCUGCAGUAAGCAUUCUGGGAUAAUCGAUGGCUCUUUGAAUAAUCGAUGCACACUUUAUGAUCCCUGACAAACUCCGUGGACGGGCACCUCGUUUCAGGAAAGCAAAGCUUGCCUUCUCGGAACAACAGAGGCGAAUUGUGCCUCGUGCAUCUGCGCAGGAGGCUGGCGCCUAGAGGACUAGCGCCUUAACUCCCGUGUUUUGUACCUCGGCACAAUAUUGUCCAGGAGUAGGAUGCACGGCGUUAUUGUGUUUUGUUUUUUUUAUAAAACAAAAAAACAAAACAAAAACCCACCAACACACACACACGGUCUGUUUCCUCUCUCAGUAAACAAAGCCCGUGAGAAGAAACAUUUUUUAUUUGGUCCUCACAGGUUACACUGAAGAGAUUUUGGGUUGGGGGCCAGAUCUCUAUUGAGAUUUCAAAAGGAAGCGAUUCCACACUCUUCCAACCUUCCUUUCCUUCUUUCUAGGAACAGGCGCAACGAGACCAUCCGCUCACUUGGGCAAGUCUCUCUCUCUCCCUCUCUUUCUCUGCCCUUUCCCUUCUUUAUUUACUCAGCGAUUAAAGUACAAAGUCCCUCCUCCCCCCCGGCAAGGCAAAGGUGCUUUAGUGCCUCGUCGCGGCGCCCCACCUUCCUAAUGACUCCGGAUGGCAGGACUGUGUCCUCAGAUAAACACGCGCGCGGGGGAGGCGGGGAAACCCUGCCGUGAACUUUUCCCUUUCGCCAGCCGGGCUGCGGGGUCUCCUCUCUCUCUCUCACGAGGUAGUUCUUGCCCGUCUUUUAAAAGUUUCCUCCACUCCCGUUAAGGAGGAACGGGAGAAACACGACCCUAUCUAACGCUAGCGAGCAGAAAGAAGCGAAGCGGGUGGGUGGGAAGCGAGACCCCCCCCAAUCCCUCCCAACCACAUUUACUCUUUUUUUGCAAACAAAACAAGUCAGCAGCAGCGCUCAAUGAUGUCUGGGAGCUCUCACAUUUGCUGCUAUCUGCUGGUGUUAGUCAGAACUGAGAAUCGUUGCAACCCUGUUACCUCUGUAGGAUAAUUAAUACAGAUUCGGGGAUUCUUCUUUCUUCACUACCUAUAAACAUAUGCUUCGUUGUCCUCCGCAGUUAAGUUAUUCAGGGGUCCCUCCACUCCCCCCCCCCCCGCGCCACAGCCCAGCCCGGUAUUCCAUCAAAUUCCAUCAAAAUUUCGACCUGAGACUUUCCCCGCCACAUAUUAGAGAAGAGCAGUUCAGGGAUGCGGAGGCAGGAGGGAGAGCGCAACAACUUUUGAUGGGCUUAGAAAAAAAAAUCGUUUCAGAUUCCUCUAUAGAAAUCUGGGAUCAAGAAGCUAAGUCAAAUGUAAGCCAUUUUCCAAGGUGUUUAAAUAAUGUUACAUUGCCACAUCAUAGCCGGCUCUCUGGGAAAUGGGAAAGGCAGACAUCUCUCUCUCUCUCUCUCUCUCUCUCUCUCUCUCUCUCUCUCUCUCUCUCUCUCUCUCUCUCUCUGUGGGUGUGGGUGGGUGCCUGCCCCCAAACAUAUUUUCUCCGAAGUCUGCUGCACUGAUUUCAGUGGGGCUUGCAUCCACAUAUGUGGACUCGGAAUGCAGCCUAGCCCAGCCGUCCUGAGAGCUUCCUGGAAAAGCUUUCCUAUUGAUUUAAGUGAGAAUUACUUCCAUGUAAUGUGUACAAAAUCAAGGUGUAAUCUCUUCAGGUGCAAUCCUGCAGGCUGUAAGCCUGUUUAAAUCACAUUGACUUCAGGGAGGUUUCAGCAGUACUACAGCAGCCUUGUGAGUAUCACGUGUAUUAUCAGAGCCACUGAAGAAGCAAGACAGCGCCAUUCUAAGAGACACCUGGCCAGAUGUCUACUGAGCAGAGCUAGCAUGUUGAUUGGGGCUUUCCUAAGUGCCUUAGACCCGUGGCCUGAGAGAAGAGAUUAUAUGACAAUCAACUUUUCUUCACACUCAGCAUUUCCUUCUCUUUCACCUAAAUGCCAGGGACAUAUUUAAUGGGAAACUUAUUUCCAAUAUUAUAUCCAAUACUGAGUGGGACUGCACAGAAGAUACAUAACAAAACCUGCAGAACAAUGAGCUUCUGCAAAGAAAGGGAGACUGUGACUUGUCUAAGAACUCCCAGUGAAUCCUUGGCUCUGGUGUCAAAUCUUAACAGUUUAUCUAUCUACUAGCCCACAGAGAACAAUGCCACUCAUAUUGGAUUCUGAAGAUGCCAGAUGCUUAUACUGGCAUUCAAUCCCUGGUAAGUCCUCUAUGUAUACAAUUUUAAAUGGGGGUUAUUCUUAGGUCAGUGUGUGUACGAUUGCAACCUUAGUCAAGUUUUAGUCAGGAGAAAACUAGCACAUUGGUAAGACUUCUAUCUUUGGGGAACAUUCUAUUUCUUGGGGGGUGGGCUAGGAUUCAUACAUGCAACCCACCUUCUACACAUCCAUAAGAUAAAGUGAUACAGUCCAGGAAAGACCUUACCACUUGGGUCUACUGGAACAUGGUUAUUUCUUUUUAAAUAGUGCCAGACAAAUAGGGCAAACAAAAUGUUGGAUGAACAUUUACAAUCUUACACUGAACUCUGCAAAAAAACUCCCACCGAUGUUAGCAUAUGAAGUCUGCAGCCGAAAACUGUUACACACUUUGCAUGGCUAAGUGCUAUAUAAAUGGUAAUAAGCUCAUUCAUCAUUAUGUAUGAAAUAAUGGUAACACAUUUGAUAUAAAAUGACAUAUGCAAACUCCUUAUGAUAUCUAUCAAUGCAUUUGCAAUAAUUACCAUGCUAAUGUCAUUGUUUAUCAUUGCUCUGAUCGAAGUGCCUAGAGAAGUAUACAUGGGCAUAAGCAGUGUGGAAACAAAAACAUCACAAGUGUUUGUCCUAUAUUCUCACCUCUAGGCUAUAUGGCAAUCAUAAGACAACAUAUCUAGGCUUGUGUCAUACUGGAUAAUACUGUUCCUUGGGUGACUGAGGACACUUAAAUCUAACCCUUUGAUUCACAGCAGCUGAGCUGUUGAGCAGCAUGAUCUUGGCUAAAGUGUAAAGUUUGCUGAACCACACAUAAAUAGAUCUAUAUUUAUAGAAAUACUUAAUAUUCAGUAUUUUUUAAUCCCAUUAAUUCCAAAGGGAGAUUUAAGCCCACACCUGAAUGGGAUUUUAGGUGCCACCCUAUACAUGUCUACUAAGAAGCCCCACAGAGUUCAACGGGACUUAUUCCUUAAAAAAAAAAAAAGUUCAGAAUUACAUUUAACUUCCCAGGGCAGAUAAAAGCACAAUUAAAACAGUUUUUUUUUAAAAAAAACACCUCACAACAAAAUCAAUAAUCUUUGCAAUACAUUGCAGGGAGGACACCAAAAACAAUUCUUAAUUUGUCAAAGGUCAAGUUCAAGAGGUGUGUCUUCAACAACAACAACAACAGCUGUAAAGAUAUGGUGCCAGAUGCAACUCUGUUGAGAAGGUGUUCCAUAUUUUUGGGGUCAUCACCAAGGAGACCCUCUCAUGAGUUGCUGCUCCUGAACCUCUGGGAAUUUAUUGAUUAGCCUUCCUGAAAGUAGCCUUUUGGUUCACAAAUCUCAGACAAAUUAAGCAUUUCUGACUCCAUCUCUUCCACUGAAAACACAUGUUUAACUCACCAAAAUUAAUGGAACUUUAGAAUGUUUGUCUUCAGCUGCAUCAUACCCACAAUGGAGUAGUUAUCAUUAAAAUAGUGUGUGGAUCCCACAGCAAAUUCUGGUAACCGAGGUAUUGUGCAUCCUAAUUGUUUUGGCCACUGUCUUGACCUACAAGCUCCGUGAAAAAUAUUCAUGUAGAAUUUCAUGUGGAAAGUGUUCAUUAUUACGUUUUAGCUGUUUAUUUAUUGUAUAUUCUGUGUUAUGGUUUAUGUUCUUUGCAUGUUUGCUAAGAGACAGAUUAUUCUGAUACUUUCUCUCUCUCUCUCUCUCUCUCUCUCUCUCUCUCUCUCACACACACACACACACACACACACACACACACACACACUUUGCCUUGUUGCACCAGGUAAAUGGAAACAAAUCAAUCCUCUCCUGAUAUUGGAUGGGUUGCAAACUUUGGGAAGACAAUGAACUCUUUCACUUCUAGAACAAGAAAACUGUUCAUAAUGACAUGGAAUCUACCACAUACAUCCAAGCUUUGAGCACAAAGUACGUUAUAUACCCACAUCAGGGAAACUCAGAUAACUUUGCCAAAGCAAAAUUCCCAAUCAAUACUUGGGAAUGUAUAGAAUAAUAUUUUUUUACCACCACCCUUCCCCAUUUUUUUUUUAUUUUUGCAUUUUUUGCACUCUUGGGAAGUUGUUGGGAAAUAAACCCCUCCUAAAACAUGCAUUUUGUGAUGGUAGGUAGAUGCUGAAAUCAAAUGGUUUCUCCUUAUUGAAACAUAUUGUAGGUCCCCACCCCCCUUGGCCAUCAUAGGUUAUACAUAUAGGAAUAAUAAUAAAGAUAUAUACGAGAUGGCAGAAAUAAUAGGAUAAUCAGGCCAAAAAGUGAUUUGGUUUAAUGAUGUGAGCCAUGAACAGAGCCUGAGGCACAGCUGAAUCUACCCUUGCAGCUGAAUCUUGACACAGUAAAGAAACGGUUGCAUGUCAGACUGGAGAUGGGGUGGAGUUAAUUUUUUUCCAUGCUUCCCCAUGGUAUAUCUUUUUCAAAAACUAAGUUAGGGUGGAGAGCUAUCACAUGAUAAAGAAAAGGUUGUAGCUUUCAGGGUAUUUUGUACUUGCAAAAGGACACACACACACACACACACACACGGCAGAAUUGAAAGAUAUGAGCACUCUCUGCCAUUGGCCAGGGGACCAAGGGCCACUGGGAAGCUGGUUCCUCUGUCUCCCAGGAAAAACAUCACAGCAAAGGGAGGGACCACAUUGCCUCCAUCCAUCUGCCAAAGGAGAAGUAGCUUCAGGAGUCUCACAUGCCCUCUCCUUGCCUGAAAGGAUGCUCUAGAAUAGAAGCAAAGGGAAAGGACACUCUGGCCCCAUCCAUUAAAUGAAGGAACAAUAGUCAAAAACACCAACAAGGAAGAUCAACCUGGUUUGAACUGGGCAUAAGGCUCACCACAUUGUUUUGAAGAACAGAUCUGCACUGUCUAUCUCUCCCCCCUCCCCCUCACUUGUGUAUCUUGUAUUUUUCCGUCUAUAAGGCUAAUGGCAGGGCCUCACACCCCCUCUCUUCUUCUUUUGUUUUUAUUGAUGUGAGCAGCUUUGAGCAGCUCCUGAAAAGCAGGAUAAAAACAUAGUAAAAAAGUACCAUACUAGUUUGGUAAGACAGCACAGAAAUCAAUUUGUUUGGGUCACAAAACAUCUAAUCUAAACCACAACAGUUCCCCAAGCUCACAGUUAAAGUAGACUUUGACAUUCUGUGUCCCACUGGACUGUUUUGAAACAGCAGGAGGUAUAAAUUAACUGUCUCUUCAAUUACAGAUUAUCAGCAUCAUCAUUUUGUAUUAUGCGGGUUAACCUAUUCAUGGUAAAUUUUGGAAAGGAUUCUCAUCAGGAUAGAAAUCUUAACAACACUUAGGUGAAAUAACUUCUGCUGGAAUCCACAUGUGAAUGCAAAUGUGUUUAAGAUCAAAAAUAUAUGUAAUCUAGCAAGCAGAGUCCUGAUGCAUCUAUUGGCUGAAAAAAGAGAGCAAAUUGAGCCAAUAGGGUUAUGGUUAGUUUCCCAUGUGCAUUAAUCUGCAAACAGAGGCAAAUAUAGAGACUUUCUGCCAAUAAGAACAAGUGCAAAAAAGGUAAGUGCAAAUUUGAGUUGACUAUUUAGCAGUCAAAAUAAUUGACAGACUGAAAUAAUUCAAAACAGUUUUAUGAAUGAGGUUAAGGCAAGAUAAUAUCAGGGGAACACAUCACCAAAAUCAAUAGCAAUUUGAGUGGGCAUACACUUGUAAAUUGUGGUUACAAUUUCUGUGUCACAAGAGAAAAAUAAAAUAUUGUAUAUGUGGUAAAUAAAGCAGCAUCAAUAUCUUUUGUAUUCUUUCCACUUCAGUCUGCUGUUGGAAACCUGCCAUCUGAUCAGUUUUUUUUUAAAAAAAUAAAUCAGUAAAAACUUUAAAGUUGA